ensembl:Y_RNA Y_RNA Y RNA
AACUGGUCCAAAGGUAAUAAGUUAUCUCAAUUGACUGUUCACAAUCAGUUACAAAUUGAACUCCUGUUCUCUACUUCCCUCCCUUCUCACUACUGCACUUGACAAGAGAUAG